UUGAACUCCUGAGCUCAAGCAAUCCUCCCGCAUCAGCCUUGUGUAGGAGCAGGAGCUGUGAGCUGGCUGUUUCCUUGAUGCUGAACGGGUGUGGAUAAAGGAAAGCUGUCUGGUCGGCAGCCCGACAGGUUGAAGUCAACAGCCAUGUCUCCAGUGACUGCAAUCAUGGAGGAGGUCUGGGACUAUGUUUUGAACAGAGCAUUCUCUGGCCAUCUGUUUCCUGCUCUUGAGUUCCCUCCUUCCUCUUGAGUUCUGCAAGUCAAAAUAAUGUUCGCACCAAGGACAGGGCUCUAGUCCUAA